CAGCCGCCGCGGUAAAACGAAGGGUGCGAGCGUUAACCGGAAUUACUGGGCGUAAAGCGUGCGUAGGCGGUGAGUUAAGUCUGCUGUGAAAUCCCCGGGCUCAACCUGGGAAUGGCAGUGGAUACUGGCUCGCUAGAGUGUGUCAGAGGAUGGUGGAAUUCCCGGUGUAGCGGUGAAAUGCGUAGAGAUCGGGAGGAACAUCAGUGGCGAAGGCAAUCCCUUGGACCUGUACUGACGCUCAUGCGCGAAAGCGUGGGGAGCAAACAGGAUUAGAUACCCCGGUAGUCCCUGUCUCUUAUAC
rnacentral:rRNA from 1 species